rnacentral:rRNA from 1 species
UACGGAGGUCUUAAGCGUUGUUCGGAUUCAUUGGGCGUAAAGGGUGCGUAGGCGGCGCGGUAAGUCGGGUGUGAAAUCUCGGAGCUUAACUCCGAAACUGCAUUCGAUACUGCCGUGCUUGAGGACUGGAGAGGAGACUGGAAUUUACGGUGUAGCGGUGAAAUGCGUAGAUAUCGUAAGGAAGACCAGUGGCGAAGGCGGGUCUCUGGACAGUUCCUGACGCUGAGGCACGAAGGUCAGGGGAGCAAACGGG